rnacentral:misc_RNA from 1 species
GAAUUGCGAUACCUAGUGUGAAUUGCAGAAUUCAGUGAAUCAUCAAAACCUUGAACGCACCUUGCACUCAUGGUUCUGCCAUGAGUAUGCCUGUUUGAGUGUCAAUUUUAAAAUAUAAAAAUUACAAAUUGUGUAAUUUUGAAAUGAGAAAUCUGUGAUUUCGUUUUGCAGUUUCUUUAAAAGAAGCGGGAAAUUGAAAUGAAUCAAUCCUAACAGGUAAAUAAAAAAAAUCAGUUAGAUUGUAUGAAAAAACCCCCCACAAAAACCCUUUCUCUUUUGACCUCAAAUCAGGUAAGGCUACCCGCUGAAUUUAA